UACAGAGGGUGCAAGCGUUAAUCGGAAUUACUGGGCGUAAAGCGCGCGUAGGUGGUUCGUUAAGUUGGAUGUGAAAUCCCCGGGCUCAACCUGGGAACUGCAUUCAAAACUGUCGAGCUAGAGUAUGGUAGAGGGUGGUGGAAUUUCCUGUGUAGCGGUGAAAUGCGUAGAUAUAGGAAGGAACACCAGUGGCGAAGGCGACCGACCUGGACUGAUACUGACACUGAGGUGCGAAAGCCGUGGGGAGCAAACAGGG
rnacentral:rRNA from 1 species